rnacentral:lncRNA from 1 species
GAAACGGCGCCCCUAUUUUCCCUUCUCUCCAUUGCGCCCCGGGCCCUUUGUUUCCCGGCUACAAAGCGUGAGAGAGAGCGCGCUUUUUUUUGGUUUUUUCCUCUCUCCCAUGCCUUGGUUCCGUGGAUAAGAACGAGUCGAAGGGGCGGCGCCUUGUUUUAAUUUCGCAUCCUCUCUCAGAGCUCCCACCGCCUCUCGUUCUUCCUCUCACGCGUUCCCUCUCCCUCUCGCCGUCUCUCACCCGCAUGCUGUCCUUCUCUCUCUCUCUCUGACACACACAUACAUACUCGUACGCUCUCAGUUAAACCUAAGGGGCUCCACCAUAUCACCUCCCAUACCCCCGCCCUGCGACGGAAAACAGGGUUAGGUUCUUUACCCUUUUAUAAAAGUAGUAGUUAGAUAUUAUAAUUUUGGAAUUUUAGAGGAUUUGAAUAAUUAUUUUAAAAAUAUCAUUUUGGUACUGAUUCCACGUACAUGUAUGUAUGUAUGUGUAUGCACGUGUGUGAGUUAGAUUACCAUGUUCCAAGAAUCUCAAGAAAGUGAUUAGAUUUACCUGGGUAUUGGCAUCCACGAGGUAAG